rnacentral:lncRNA from 1 species
AAAUAGAAGAAAAAAACAAUCAAAAUACGUGGAUCAGCCACAAAAGGGCUCGCCUCCACGGGGCAUGCAAACUUCACUAUGAAAAAAAAAUUUACAAGAGGAGACCUCACCCUCAACCCUUGUACACCCAAUUCUCUCUCACAUGUAGUUCCCCUCACAAAAGCUCUCUCUCUCUUGGAGACCCCCCUGAACCCCUGAAGAGCCUGGCGACCGCUGUCCAGGAGCCUUCUGCUCCUUCUCUCACAGCGCCUCACGCCUCUCUCUCUCUCCUCUGGUUUGUACGGCGGCGAGAAA